rnacentral:rRNA from 1 species
UACAGAGGGGGCAAGCGUUGUUCGGAAUUACUGGGCGUAAAGGGCGCGUAGGCGGCCUGUUAAGUCGAACGUGAAAUCCCCGGGCUCAACCCGGGAACUGCGUCCGAUACUGGCAGGCUUGAAUUCGGGAGAGGGAUGCGGAAUUCCAGGUGUAGCGGUGAAAUGCGUAGAUAUCUGGAGGAACACCGGUGGCGAAGGCGGCAUCCUGGACCGAGAUUGACGCU